UACAGAGGUGGCAAGCGUUGUUCGGAAUUACUGGGCGUAAAGGGCGCGUAGGCGGCCUUCUAAGUCAGACGUGAAAUCCCCAGGCUUAACUUGGGAACUGCGUCUGAUACUGGGAGGCUUGAGUGCGGGAGAGGGAUGUGGAAUUCCAGGUGUAGCGGUGAAAUGCGUAGAUAUCUGGAGGAACACCGGUGGCGAAGGCGGCAUCCUGGACCGACACGGACGCUGAGGCGCGAAAGCGUGGGGAGCGAACAGG
rnacentral:rRNA from 1 species